UUGGUUAAGUUAGAAAGGGCGCACGGUGGAUGCCUUGGCACUAGGAGCCGAAGAAGGACGGGACUAACACCGAUAUGCUUUGGGGAGCUGUACGUAAGCGUUGAUCCAGAGAUUUCCGAAUGGGGGAACCCACUAUCUUUAGUCGGAUAGUAUCCUUACGUGAAUACAUAGCGUAAGGAAGGCAGACCCAGGGAACUGAAACAUCUAAGUACCUGGAGGAAGAGAAAGAAAAAUCGAUUUCCUGAGUAGCGGCGAGCGAAACGGAAAGAGCCCAAACCAAGAAGCUUGCUUCUUGGGGUUGUAGGACACUCUAUACGGAGUUACAAAAGAAAGUUAUAAAUGAAGCGGUCUGGAAAGGCCCGCCAAAGACGGUAACAGCCCGGUAGUUGAAAUGGCUUUCCCUCCAGAGUGGAUCCUGAGUACGGCGGAACACGUGAAAUUCCGUCGGAAUCCGGGAGGACCAUCUCCCAAGGCUAAAUACUCCCUAGUGACCGAUAGUGAACCAGUACCGUGAGGGAAAGGUGAAAAGCACCCCGGAAGGGGAGUGAAACAGUUCCUGAAACCGUGUGCCUACAAGUAGUUAGAGCCCGUUAAUGGGUGAUAGCGUGCCUUUUGUAGAAUGAACCGGCGAGUUACGAUUUGUUGCAAGGUUAAGCGGAAAAAGCGGAGCCGUAGCGAAAGCGAGUCUGAAUAGGGCGCAUAAGUAACAGGUCGUAGACCCGAAACCAGGUGAUCUACCCAUGUCCAGGAUGAAGGUAAGGUAAUACUUACUGGAGGUCCGAACCCACGCACGUUGAAAAGUGCGGGGAUGAGGUGUGGGUAGCGGAGAAAUUCCAAUCGAACUUGGAGAUAGCUGGUUCUCUCCGAAAUAGCUUUAGGGCUAGCCUCGAGGUAAAGAGUCAUGGAGGUAGAGCACUGUUUGGACUAGGGGCCCUUCUCGGGUUACCGAAUUCAGAUAAACUCCGAAUGCCAUGUACUUAUACUCGGGAGUCAGACUGCGAGUGAUAAGAUCCGUAGUCGAAAGGGAAACAGCCCAGACCACCAGUUAAGGUCCCCAAAUAUAUGUUAAGUGGAAAAGGAUGUGGGGUUGCUUAGACAACCAGGAUGUUGGCUUAGAAGCAGCCACCAUUGAAAGAGUGCGUAAUAGCUCACUGGUCGAGUGACCCCGCGCCGAAAAUGUACCGGGGCUAAACAUAUUACC
rnacentral:rRNA from 1 species